rnacentral:rRNA from 1 species
UGCGUAGGCGGCUGAUUAAGUCGGAUGUGAAAUCCCUGAGCUUAACUUAGGAAUUGCAUUCGAUACUGGUCAGCUAGAGUAUGGGAGAGGAUGGUAGAAUUCCAGGUGUAGCGGUGAAAUGCGUAGAGAUCCGGAGGAAUACCGAUGGCGAAGGCAGCCAUCUGGCCUAAUACUGACGCUGAGGUACGAAAGCAUGGGGAGCAAACA